rnacentral:rRNA from 1 species
AACGUAGGAACCGAGCGUUAUCCGAAUUUACUGGGCGUAAAGCGUGUGUAGGCGGUUCGGUAAGUUGGAUGUGAAAUCUCCUGGCUCAACUGGGAGAGGUCGUUCAAUACUGUCGAACUUGAGGGUGGUAGAGGGAGGUGGAAUUCCCGGUGUAGUGGUGAAAUGCGUAGAUAUCGGGAGGAACACCAGUGGCGAAAGCGGCCUCCUGGACCAUUCCUGACGCUCAGACACGAAAGCUAGGGGAGCAAACGGG